UCCACGCCGUAAACGAUGAAUACUAGGUGUCGGGUUCUUAGAACUCGGUGUCGCAGCUAAUGCAUUAAGUAUUCCACCUGGGGAGUACGAUCGCAAGGUUGAAACUCAAAGGAAUUGACGGGGGCCCGCACAAGCAGUGGAGCAUGUGGUUUAAUUCGAUUCAACGCGAAGAACCUUACCUAGACUUGAAACGCUGUGGACAACUUGCGAAAGCAAGCUUCUCUUCGGAGCCGCAGUACAGGUGCUGCAUGGCUGUCGUCAGCUCGUGCCGUGAGGUGUUGGUUAAGUCCCGCAACG
rnacentral:rRNA from 1 species